GCACCACUGGAUAGCCCAGUUGGGUAGAGCAACAGAUUUCUAAUCUGUCUGUCGCGGGUUCGAAUCCCGCUCCAUGCA
rnacentral:tRNA from 1 species